rnacentral:rRNA from 1 species
UGGGGAAUAUUGGACAAUGGGGGGAACCUGAUCCAGCAAUGCCGCGUGUGUGAAGAAGGCCUGAGGGUUGUAAAGCACUUUCGGUAGGGAGGAGAGGAGAUAGGUUAAGAGCUAAUUUUCUGGACGUUACCUAUAGAAGAAGCACCGGCUAACUCCGUGCCAGCAGCCGCGGUAAUACGGGGGGUGCGAGCGUUAAUCGGAAUUACUGGGCGUAAAGGGUGCGUAGGUGGUUUUAUAAGUUAUCUGUGAAAUUCCUGGGCUCAACCUGGGGUGGUCAGAUAAGACUGUAGGACUAGAGUAUGGGAGAGGGUAGUGGAAUUUCCGGUGUAGCGGUGAAAUGCGUAGAGAUCGGAAGGAACACCAGUGGCGAAGGCGGCUACCUGGCCUAAUACUGACACUGAGGCACGAAAGCGUGGGGAGCAAACAGG